UACGGAGGGGGCUAGCGUUGUUCGGAAUCACUGGGCGUAAAGCGCACGUAGGCGGAUUUGUAAGUCAGGGGUGAAAUCCCGGGGCUCAACCUCGGAACUGCCUUUGAUACUGCAAAUCUCGAGUCCGAUAGAGGUGGGUGGAAUUCCUAGUGUAGAGGUGAAAUUCGUAGAUAUUAGGAAGAACACCGGUGGCGAAGGCGGCCCACUGGAUCGGUACUGACGCUGAGGUGCGAAAGCGUGGGGAGCAAACAGG
rnacentral:rRNA from 1 species